rnacentral:rRNA from 1 species
AUACGUAGGUGGCAAGCGUUAUCCGGAUUUACUGGGUGUAAAGGGCGUGUAGGCGGCUUCGCAAGUCGGAUGUGAAAUUCCCGGGCUUAACCCGGGCGCUGCAACCGAAACUACGGAGCUUGAGUACUGGAGAGGAUAGUGGAAUUCCUAGUGUAGCGGUAAAAUGCGUAGAUAUUAGGAGGAACACCGGUGGCGAAGGCGACUAUCUGGACAGUAACUGACGCUGAGGCGCGAAAGCGUGGGGAGCAAACAGGAUUAGAUACCCUGGUAGUCCACGCCGUAAACGAUGGAUACUAGGUGUAGGAGGUAUCGACCCCUUCUGUGCCGGAGUUAACACAAUAAGUAUCCCACCUGGGGAGUACGGCCGCAAGGCUGAA